CUUUUGAGCCAGGAUGAGCCAGGAGAAGGAAUUUCACAAGGUAAUGGCUUCAGUUAAAGCAGAAACCGGCCAUUUUCACUUCUUUUGUGAUUCUUCACUUGCUUCGGGCCAUCUCGACAUAUACAUGCAGGUCACAGGGGAUAUGAUAGCUUAGCUUGGGCUCAGAGGCCUGACACUGUUGAUAGUUUAUUUUGCUCUGCAGACGUUCUUUAACUUCAUUAGGCAAUACUUGUCAAUUUUUGUUUUUGCUGCAAUUGCUUUUGGCUACUAAGCCAAAAAUUAUUUGCCAAGGCUGAUAUCGGGAGGGUAUGUCCUAGGUUUCCUUAUAGGACAUUUACAGUUCGAAGUCUUACAUUUACAUCUUUAAUCCAUCAUCAGUUAAUUUUUGUAUAUGGUGAAAUGUAAGGGUCCAGUUUUAUUCUUCUACAUAUGACUAGCCAAUUAUCCCAGCAUGAUUUACUAAAUGGGGAGUCCUUUCCUCAUUGCUUUUGUUGGCCUUGUCGAAGAUCAGAGGAUUGUAUGGAAUGCAUUUGAACAGGCAUAUUCCUACAGGGCAUCGCCAACAUGGGAAAUAAGUAGUAAUAUGUCUUGAAAUCUUACUGAGAAAUUUGACUAUUUUGUGAACAUGGUCCUAUAUACACCACUUAGUUUUGGUGAUGUGAUGGGAAUUUAGUGAAACCUUCGUAUGGGUUAUUUUGUAUGAACUGGCCAUGAAGGUGGCUCUUUUCUUACAUUUUAACAUGGAAGAGAGAAGAAGCAUAUGGCAGCCCAGAAAUGCUGGACAUCAGGGACUUUUUGCUUCUGUGAAUACUGUGAGUGUAUCUGGAAUAAAUUACAGUGACUCUAAUAAAAUGAAAUGUUGAAUCACUU
rnacentral:lncRNA from 10 species